rnacentral:lncRNA from 1 species
AUAAAAGAAUAGCAUACAUAAUAAAAAUAAUACAAUCUGUUGAGGAAUUAAUGAUACAAUAUUCUAAAAAAAAUACAAAUUGACUGUGAAAGAAAUAUGAUACAUCUAUGUUUAAGAAAUACAAAUCAAUUUGGCAUACCAACUGGAAUGACUACAAACUAAAAAAAAUUACAAUGUUCUUAAUAAAAAUAUAAAUGUUGAGUAAAAGAAAAACAAUUGACAAACAAAAAUUAAUAUGAAUACAAUUUUUGCAACCUUCUUCUCCAUUCUCUCAUUCUUUGCAACCUUCUUCUCCGAUUCUCUCUCUUUUUUUCUUCUUCUUCACGAAAGU